AUUGAACGCUGGCGGCAUGCCUUACACAUGCAAGUCGAACGGCAGCAUGAUCUAGCUUGCUAGAUUGAUGGCGAGUGACGAACGGGUGAGUAAUACAUCGGAACGUGCCCUGUAGCGGGGGAUAACUAGUCGAAAGAUUAGCUAAUACCGCAUACGACCUGAGGGUGAAAGUGGGGGACCGCAAGGCCUCAUGCUAUAGGAGCGGCCGAUGUCUGAUUAGCUAGUUGGUGAGGUAAAGGCUCACCAAGGCGACGAUCAGUAGCUGGUCUGAGAGGACGAUCAGCCACACUGGGACUGAGACACGGCCCAGACUCCUACGGGAGGCAGCAGUGGGGAAUUUUGGACAAUGGGCGAAAGCCUGAUCCAGCAAUGCCGCGUGUGUGAAGAAGGCCUUCGGGUUGUAAAGCACUUUUGUCCGGAAAGAAAUGGCUCUGGUUAAUACCUGGGGUCGAUGACGGUACCGGAAGAAUAAGGACCGGCUAACUACGUG
rnacentral:rRNA from 1 species